rnacentral:rRNA from 1 species
AAAAAAACCAUUCGGGCUCUUGGUGAUUCAUAAUAACUUAACGAAUCGCAUAUGCACUUUACGGCGCGAGCGAAUGGUUCAUUCAAAUUUCUGCCCUAUCAACUUUCGAUGGUAGGAUAGUGGCCUACCAUGGUGGCAACGGGUAACGGGGAAUUAGGGUUCGAUUCCGGAGAGGGAGCCUGAGAAACGGCUACCACAUCCAAGGAAGGCAGCAGGCGCGCAAAUUACCCAAUCCCGACACGGGGAGGUAGUGACAAUAAAUACUGAUACGGGGCUCUUUCGGGUCUCGUAAUUGGAAUGAGUACAAUCUAAAUCCCUUAACGAGGAACAAUUGGAGGGCAAGUCUGGUGCCAGCAGCCGCGGUAAUUCCAGCUCCAAUAGCGUAUAUUAAAGUUGUUGCAGUUAAAAAGCUCGUAGUUGAACCUUGGGUCUGGCUGGCCGGUCCGCCUCACCGCGAGUACUGGUCCGGCUGGACCUUUCCUUCUGGGGAAUCCCAUGGCCUUCACUGGCUGUGGGGGGAACCAGGACUUUUACUGUGAAAAAAUUAGAGUGUUCAAAGCAGGCCUUUGCUCGAAUACAUUAGCAUGGAAUAAUAGAAUAGGACGUGCGGUUCUAUUUUGUUGGUUUCUAGGACCGCCGUAAUGAUUAAUAGGGAUAGUCGGGGGCGUCAGUAUUCAGCUGUCAGAGGUGAAAUUCUUGGAUUUGCUGAAGACUAACUACUGCGAAAGCAUUCGCCAAGGAUGUUUUCAUUAAUCAGGGAACGAAAGUUAGGGGAUCGAAGACGAUCAGAUACCGUCGUA